rnacentral:rRNA from 1 species
GACGUAGGGGGCCAGCGUUGCUCGGAAUUACUGGGCGUAAAGGGUUCGUAGGCGGCGCGGCAAGUCGGGAGUGAAAUCUCUGGGCUUAACUCAGGGGCUGCUUCCGAAACUGCCGUGCUUGAGUGCGGGAGAGGCGAGUGGAAUUGCAGGUGUAGCGGUGAAAUGCGUAGAUAUCUGCAGGAACACCCGUGGCGAAGGCGGCUCGCUGGACCGCAACUGACGCUGAGGAACGAAAGCUAGGGGAGCAAACAGG